ensembl:lncRNA
GGGUGCUGGGAAUCCAGGCAAAGGUCCUUGCACUUGUACAACAAACACUUUGUCCAUGGGACCUCUCAGCUCCUGCCAUUGGUUGUAGGGGAAGCUGUAGCCACGCCUACUUAGGGGCUGGCUACAGGUGUGCCUGACCACGCUUGUGAGGGUGUGGUCAGAGUGAUGUAUUGUGACAGCGUUUGCUCUUUCGGUUUCACUUUGCUGCUUGCUGUACAGACUGCUAGCAGGCCAGCUGGAAGUAAGGCUUUUCCCUAUUAAAUACCCUUAUAUUUCUACCUGACUCCGUAUUGGUAAUUUCCCAAUAUAUCUGGUGUCAGAAGCGGGAUAUUGGAAACCUACACCCCAUUUGGGACAGGCUGUGGGUUCCAUCGGGCUCACAGCCUAGGCCCGGGAAAGCGCCCUCUCUCCACAGGUGCUCCCGGCUAGCAGCUGACCCGCUGCCACUGAGCUGCUCAGAACCAUCCACCCAGCUCGGAGACAGUUUCUAGCUGCCUAGAGAGGAGGUAGGCCUCGGCUUUCAGCAGAGGCUUCCCCUGGCCGCUGCUUCGAUAAAGCUGCAUCUGUUUCAGUGGUUGCGGCCGCAAGACCGUAUACUCUCUAAGAUAAGCGCAGCCGCUUUUGUGACCUCUCUCCACUGCUGACCGACUGCUGCCAAAUGCCUCGGAAUAACUGAAUGCCUAUGCUACCUGCUGGUCAAAUAUAUUUACUACAUCUGGAGUAGAAAUCAGGAGAUUGAAACUUUUCAAAAGGAUAUCAUUGCCAGGCUUAAAGAUCAUUGGGAUGCCUCAAAAGCAGAAUCACUCCAAUCCCAGGCACCUACUCCACCCAGGUAUCGUGACUAUUCUUCUAAGGUUGUUACUCGUACACCAUUAGUGUACCCAGCUACCAUGGUAGAAAAGCCAGCUUCUAAGAAACACCCUCAUGGACGGAUGGCUUAUGAAUGGCAACCUAUACAGCUGAAGGAUCUUAAGAAUAUUAAAGAAUCAGUUGUCUCAUAUGGUCUCCAUAGCCCAUACGUAAAACAGCUAUUACAUUCAUGGGCAACCUUUAACAGGGUGACACCCACAGAUUGGGAACGAUUGGUAGCAGCUGUACUUGAGAAUUCAUGCCAAAUCCAGUGGAAGGCAUUAGUAAGGGAAGAGGCAAAGCUCCUUGAGCGUCAGGGCAUAAAGGAAGGUUUUGAAGCCCCUCUAGAUAAGCUUCUUGGUCAGGGUAUUUAUGCUGACCCACAGGUUCAGGCUGAAUAUGAUGACGAUAUACUGUCUCUAUGCAGGAAAGCAGCAUUAAAUGCCUGGGAUAAGGUUCGUGAGCCAGGAGAACGCCUAGAAGCUUAUACCAGAAUCGAACAGGGACCUACAGAACAGUUCCAGGAUUUCUUACAAAGGUUAACUAGGGCAGUAGAAUUAUAGGUAACAGAUCCAGAAACAAGACAAUCAAUUAUAUAUACAAUAGCUUAUGAGAAUGCAAACCCUAUAUGCAAAAGAAUACUUUUGCCUUUAAAGAUCAGAUCAGCUCCGCUAGAAGAAUGGGUUUUGUAUACAGCCAACAUUGAUUAUAAUGUACAAGAUACUGGAUCUUGGGUAGGAGAAGCCAUUUCAAAAGGUUUAAAAAGGCAACAGGAAAUUAAAAGUUCUAGAGGUCAGGAUAUAAGGGCUUGGCAAGGAGAAACACCUUACAGAGGUCAACAUAGGUACCAAGAGGCUAGAGGUUACUACUACUAUGAACCAGAACCUUGGGUAGAAAGAGCCUUCCCCUGGAGACCACGAAGGCUCCAGGAACCUAGAUGUUUCAACUGUGGUAAAAUGGGACAUACUAAGAGAAAUUGUAGACAAAUAAAUUCUAACAAUGCCUCAUAUGGAAGGCCACUGCCUUAUGGAUUGUGUAAAAGAUGUGGUAAGGGCAGACACUGGACCAAUGAAUGUAGAUCGACCAGGGACAUACAAGAAAACCCCUUAAGGUCAGGAAACCCCAAGGGGGGACUCAAGAAGGCCCCCCCACAUCGAGAAAGGUUGGGUUAUUCCCAAUAGCAGUGGAAGACAAUCUCUCACAGGAACAAUAGAUAGUUCUUUGCCUAUUGUGAAAAAUGAUACUACUCUAGAUGGUAGUUUAAAUAGUGACGACGAAUCAAGUGUGAAUGGACAAAAUGAGAAACGCAUAUUUUGGCAAGCUUCUAUUAAUGAUAAAAGGCCCCAGUUAAAAGUAAAAAUUAAUAAUAAAGUUAUUUCUGGCUUAGUGGACAAUGGGGCGGAUGUAACUAUUAUUACUCAAAAGUCUUGGCCUCAAAAAUGGCCUCUUAGAGAGGCAAAUGUACAAUUUUUAGAAAUUGAAACUCUAUCUAGAGUUCGACAGAGUGUUAACUCAAUGGUCUACAUUGGACCGGAAGGACAGAAAGGGAUACUGAAACCAUACGUGGCUACAGCUUUCCCUACAAGCAUUGGUUUCUACAGGAGAAGAAAAACUUUGGAUACCAUCAAAGUUGAUCAAGAUUCGAAUGAAAAAGAAAAAAACCUCUUGAUGAGGACAAAUGACAGGUAUUCUACUAAGGUAUAUCUUAUAAACUAAAUAGAAACCCCCCAAAGGAAAGGGAAGUGUUUUGCUUUUAUCUUCACAGGAAAACUCAUCUCCAGAAGGCAAAGGACACUGCAUGGAUAGAUACUUGGGAAGAAAAGGUAGCUAUAACCAUCAAACAAAGGAACGUGCCAUACGGUAAACUUUACAGCUGUCUCUCAGAGAACUCUAUUUCUCUUUAUUUCCUAGUCCCUAUUCAAUUAAACCAAUGCUGGGUUUAGAGGUGGAUUUGGCUUUCCUCCUCUAAAAUCCAAGCACGUUAUUUAACUAAGAUUUAGUGUUUCUGUAUUGUAUCAAGAAGCCAAUUGAUGUAAUACAGAAUAAAAGAAGAAUUUGGGGACUUUGUCUUUUCUUGGAUCUUUCUCUCAAGGUGUAUACCCUCUCAUAAUUGUUAUGCUCUCAUGGUUACAUUCUCCAGCAUGUGUACAUACACAAGCAAACAUUUCUCUGCUAACUUUUUAUGUUUGAGUCCCACACAGCCAAUGAAGACCUGCCUGACAGCAAUCCCUAAACACCCUGGAAAGAAAAUGGGCCACAGCUCCUCGACUGCACUGGAUCCAACUUGCUCCAUUUCAACUGACACCCCGGCCAGAGGUUUGGGUACUGACUUCAAUCAAGUUGAGGAUUUCAAGCGAGAUCUUCAAUCAAGUGAAUCAUACAAUUCAUUCAAGACUUUCACUAUCCUAACAUUUUCUUCCUGCAGGACCCCACAUGACUAUCAUCGUCCCAUUUCAGCAGGAAGUAACUCGGAGGAUGCUACGCUCCCUUUCCCCAUUGUUGUCACUUAGGAUAGUGUAUAUACCUAGUUAGGAAUAGCUUCCUAUUGUUUAUGGUUGGGAUUGUAAGGAGGUGUUCAGGCUUGGACACCUCUUUCAGAUGACUUUAGGGUUUAGUUAAAAUAGAUAGUUAGGAUGUGACAUAAGCAGAUUGUUGUAUCUUCUUAUAUUUUACCUUUAUGAUUGUUAAUUUUGGAUACUUUAAACUGUUAAGUUUUAAUCCUCUUUUAGACUAAAAGGGGAAUUGUAGGGGAAGCUGUAGCCACGCCUACUUAGGGGCUGGCUACAGGUGUGCCUGACCACACUUGUGAGGGCGUGGUCAGAGUGACGUAUUGUGACUGCGUUUGCUCUUUCGGUUUCACUUUGCUGCUUGCUGUACAGACUGCUAGCAGGCCAGCUGGCUAGGCUGCUCUGUAAGUAAGGCUUUUCCCUAUUAAAUACCCUUAUAUUUCUACCUGACUCCGUAUUGGUAAUUUCCCACUAUAAUUGGUAUCUGCCAGUGAGCACACA